AUGAACGCUGGCGGCGUGCCUCAUCCAUGCAAGUCGCGCGAACAGACGAGGAGCUUGCUCCUCUGACGUUAGCGGCGGACGGGUGAGUAACACGUGGAUAACCUACCUAUAAGACUGGGAUAACUUCGGGAAACCGGAGCUAAUACCGGAUAAUAUAUUGAACCGCAUGGUUCAAUAGUGAAAGACGGUUUUGCUGUCACUUAUAGAUGGAUCCGCGCCGCAUUAGCUAGUUGGUAAGGUAACGGCUUACCAAGGCAACGAUGCGUAGCCGACCUGAGAGGGUGAUCGGCCACACUGGAACUGAGACACGGUCCAGACUCCUACGGGAGGCAGCAGUAGGGAAUCUUACGCAAUGGGCGAAAGCCUGACGGAGCAACGCCGCGUGAGUGAUGAAGGUCUUCGGAUCGUAAAACUCUGUUAUUAGGGAAGAACAAAUGUGUAAGUAACUAUGCACGUCUUGACGGUACCUAAUCAGAAAGCCACGGCUAACUACGUG
rnacentral:rRNA from 1 species